AAAAAAAGAAAGAAACCCUCUGUCCCUGAUAACCAGAGAAAGAACUCUGAAAUGCAAGCUCUCUACCUCUGCCCCUCCAACUUCAUGAAGCAAGUCUUUGCAUCACGGCCUGCUGAAUGCAUUCCUAUCACCCAACUGUCCUCCACAUUUUUUGUAUGUGACAUCCUGAACCUACUUGGGUGAUUCUAAAACAUUUCCAGUGAAAGUUAAUCUUGUCCCUUUUCCACCCUGGCUCAUUAGCUCCAAAUAGCCCAGGUAAGACAGGUCCAAGCAAGUUCUAUGACUGUGAACUCAUAGAAGGCCUAUUCACACCUCAAAGCCUACCUGCUGCCCUCCACUUUUCAUGUACAUCCUGUCCAGUGUACUCUCUCAGCUGAGCUGAGAACAGUGCUAAGGGAGUCAAAAUAGUUAGCAGGUACUGCUGACAGUCAGGAGAAAGACAGCAAAAACAAAACAAGUAAAAACUUUUUCUUCUCCUAUAUCCUCCACAGAUCCUUUCACUAACCAACAGUUUCUGCAUGGAUAGCAACAGCACCAUGCAGUUCACUGCUAUAUCACAACAUCAAACUUGAAGCCUUGUGCCCAAAGGUCCUCGGCCUUUAACUGCACAUGUGAAACACCCUCUGAAAAAAGACAUGGCCUCUUUCUUUAAAGGUGCCUCCAGUUCCAAGUGGCCUCCCUCCAUCCUGUGAGAUAGUUCCGUCUGGAACUGUUAACCCAAGCUUCACGAUGCGUGUCGGUCCUUUAAGCAUCCACAGAUGACUGUGAAAUACAGAUUACACUUAGCAACUAUCUAUAAGUGAGUGAAAUGCCUGUAAGCAUGCUAGCACAUUAACGGGUAACAGUUCUGUGUCUAACCUCUAUACAGAGCUGACUGACCAGGUCUCCAGUGCUUCAAGACCAGGACUAAGGCAGGCUAAAAACUUUUGAACACUUUUAUUAGUGGGAGUGCUCCUGCAAAAGCCAACUUUAGCAGGCUUUCCUCACAUCCACCUCAGACGACUUUUAUUACCUAUGCACCUUCAUGUGGCCAAAACAGCUCAGGAUUUAGAUCUUGGGUCCUCUCGCUUAGUAGAGGCCCAUCCUGCCAGGAAACUAGAGGUUCACUAAGGGUAAGACUGGCCAUAUCAUGAGGGGAACUUCCAGUUGAGCUAAACCUCUUACCACAGGGGUAGCCUCAACAUCUGCAGAAAACCAAUUAUUUUUCCUCUGUCCCACAGCUGAAAAGACUGUCUUCAGAUUUUAAAGAUGUGACACCCCAUCACCUUCUGUCCUCCAGCCCCAAGACUCCCAAAGACUGUAGGGCCCUCUGAGUCACCACUGGCAAGUGAGAAAGGCACAACAAUGACAGCAGACAGGAGACUGCUCUGAGUUCAAUCCUUAGUUCCUAGUAUGGGGCUCAGCCUCUAUGUGGUAAAGGAAUCAGAGUUCGGAUUGAGUCCUGCAAGUAGGCAGGCUCAAAGCCACAAAGGCAAGGAUACAAUGGAUGAAAACAAAACAGUAUGAGCUGAAGGAUGCCAAACCAACUGCUUAUAAUAAAAUGUCUGAGACAAAAGGAAAUGUCUGAGAGAAAAGGAGAGGGUUGGGAGCCACGGAAAUAAAAGGUAGCUGAGCCUAGGUAUAUGUAAGCCACGCAUAUCUAAGCAAAAUGCUUAGACAGGGUAGCCUCCAGAAUGUGUCAGUUUCUGAGCACUCUCAGAGACAGAAGUUUGGAGAAAAACAGCCAUUGAAAGGAACAAAAUAAUGCCUUUUGCAACAACAUGGAUGGACCUGGAAGCCAUUAUUCAAAGUGAAAUAACACAGGAGUGGAAAACCAAAACCCCUAUCUUGCUAUGAGUAUGCAAAGGCAUACAGAGUGAUAUAACGGGCUUCAGAGACUCAGACGAGGGAGGUUGGGAGGGGGCCAGAGACCCAGAUGAGGGAGGUUGGGAGGGGGCCAGGGAUAAAAAUAACUACACAUUAUGUUCAAUGUACACUACUAAGGUGAUGGGUGCACUACAAUCUCAGAACUCACCACUGGAUAAUUCAUCCAUGUAACCCAAAAAACACCUGUAUCCAAAAAAAUUACUGAAUUUUUUCAGAUUUAUUUUAAUAGAAGAACUACAGAGAAAAAGUUUAUUCUUAACUGUUGAAUAGCACUCUACCACAAGAAAACCUCAACUCUACCAUCUGUCUGCUCAGCAGUCUUGACCAGUCAUAAUUUGUAAUUACAUCACCACCUACUACAACAUGCCUGCCCCAUUGACACCCUUUCCAUACAAUCUUGACUGCAAGGUGAAGCCUCCUGUCAUUCUCCAAAAUGAAUGUCAAAUGUGAGGCUCCCCUGAGAGCAUUCUACGCUGUCCCUCUCAAACCACAGAUAAACUCUUCGCUUCAAGUUUCCACUGCCCUUUGUACAACACCUACACAAACUAGUAUGAAAUCUUUCCCAGCUGGCCUCCCUCAGAAACAGAUCUAACUGCCCAGGUUCCAUCUUUUCUGAAACUUAAACUUCAACUGCCUAUUCCCUCCACCUGUCUUCUUCCUUGCCCACCAAAAAGGCACUAGUCUCCCCACUCAUGGUCUUGAUCAUCUCCUUUUGCACCAGUCUCCAAUUCUCUAAAACAAAUGGGCAAACAUCACCCACUAUCUCAAAAGAAAAUCCCUCUUUCUGCCUCUUUCUAGUCACUGUCCCGUAUCUUCUACUUUGAGAAUAACUGUCACCUUUAUGAGAUUCAGUCUUCUCAACGUUCAAGAAUGGUAAUCCAUAAACCCAAGUCUCUGUUUGGUUGGUUACUCUGAUUUUCUCUUUUUGAUUUCUUUAACCAGUAUUUUCUACUUUUCAGGAAACAGAACCUGCACCACCUAGACCCUGUUCAUAAACCUUCUGCAAUAUGAAAUCUCCCUCUCCCCAUACACACCUAUCACUGAACACAAGCUGCCCAGUAUCAAUGAGGUUUCUGUGCCAACUAUUCAGACAGCAUCUACUGUAACUCUUUUGAGCAGUGUUUCAGUCCUCUAUUUCAGUCAGCACUUACUUCUGUCUUAUCAUCUAUUUGCAAGUUGCAAGGCAAGCUGAACCCAAAGCAUUAAGGUACUGUCCUUCCAUCCACAACUCUCUCAAGCAUCCAUGUAUUUCACCAAGAUCUGCAGCUACCAUCUCCUUAUCCUACCACCAAAUAUUCAAUCACCCUGUUCCACAUGUGCUUCCUCCACACCACAGCUGGGGAUGUAUAUUCUAAACCCCUGUCUUCUUUGCCAUCUUCCAGGUGAUACUUGUGCUCUCUACCCCCACUCACAAUGGGAACAGGCACUGCCUUAGUUCCCAUUACUCGUGUGCAAGUUCAUCAUGGGCUCACCCAAACUCUUUCUUUUUCUCCCAUCCACUGUAAUGGCAAUCACCCACAAAAACAGACCUAAUCUCCCAUUCUUAAAUCCAGUGACUUCCAUUUCCUUGGUCUUCAACAACUAAUACCAAGUUGUUACGGGGAAAUAUUAUGUCUGAAAUCCAUCAGGCUGUUUUCCCAAGACCCACAAAAUACCACUUUUCUAGUCUUAUUUUCAAGGGUGGAGGGCUGUUUGGAUGUUCUGUCUCUCCACUAACCUAUGCUACCUGGUGGAUUAAUAAACUAUGAAAAGGCUCCCUGGUGUGUCCCUGACAUAACUGACGUCCCAGGAGCCUCUGAUUCUCCACUCUGAACUCGCUGUGUCCUUGGCUCAAGCCAAGCUAAACUGGGUGGGGUUUGUGACAGGGAAUGCUCCCUUCCAGCUGCCCAAAGAAACAACCAGCAAACAAAUAAGCUCAAUCAAAACUUCCCAAGUCUCUCACCUGUUACACAAGGAUAAGGCCAAUACCGUAACCCAGGGCAACCAUUUGGCACUUCUCGCUACUAUGCGAUAGUCUCCUGGACACAAGGUUUUUACACCCUGGCUGGCCAAUCUGGUAGGGCCAGUACUAGGUAUUAACAACACUCCAGUAUCUCCUUGUCCCACUCCAUCUCCCCCUACUUAAAAAUUCACAGGGACUACCAAUCUGCAUUGUCUCUUGAGAUCCAAAUUCCAUACAAAAGCAGAAACCAGUCAUCAGAUUUGAUUUCCUCUGUGCUUUCUACCUUUUAGGUACAAAAGAAUCCAACACCCUACGCGACUGAACACACUGCAUGAUUCAAGGCCUAGUUCCUAUCAUCUAAAACAAAGUACCUCCUGUGGGCGAAUCCACAAAAACAGAAUGGACCCUGCAUCAAGGGACACGACCAAAUAAGUCAGAAACAACCAAACAACCGAUAUUUGUCAAUUCCUUUAGGGACUCUAAUGUGUUUCCCCCAGAGAAAUAACAGAGAAAAAGGCAAGCUGGUUAAACUAAGUAGAAACAACAUCCAAUGAAACGUUGUGAUUCACUUACAGAAUGCAUCUCAUAUUCAGAUGGCAUCUGGUCACUGUAAGUGAUUGGGUCAUGUGAAAAACAAAGUCACCCCAUGACCCUAAAUCCAGGGAAAAGAGGAAUGGAUGACUGAAGGGUGAUCCUGGUUUCCAAAGAGGUCUUCCCUACACAGAAAAAUGGAAGGUGCUGUCCACACAGAAAGCAACUCCCUUGAAAGUUUCCUUGAAACUUCAGCCAUUAAAUCUGGGGAGGGAAGAGGGAGUUUUAAGGGCAGAGGCAGACAUCAGGCAGUCAAUCAUCUUCUAUGUCUAGCAAGUGCAAGGCAGCACUACUACUAACAUAGUCACAGAAACCUGGCAGGAAAGCAUAUUAUCACCAUUUACAAGGAAAACAAAGACUCAAAAAAGGUUCUAUGUACUGUUGCCUGCAGUUACACAAUUAAUCAAUGACAAGAAAUCUGGAUUUCUACCCAGGCCUUCCUGGUCAAUAUCACAGAUCUUUCCUGUACAGAAAUAUCUUGUCCUUCAGAGAACUCCUUACUUGUAAUCCCGUUUCUAAAACAGUCUUGUGUGGAAAAUCCAUUACUUUCUAUCAGUGUGCACCUACAUGCCUGGAUUAAACAACCAGACAAACAAGUAGAGAUAGGAAAUAUUCCCGGAAUCUGGCUUAAACACCCUCUGACAAACUUAGCAACCGACCUAUCUGUCUGGAAAUUACAAAGCUCACUUGACUUGUGCAACAUACCUUUGCCUCUUCCACUGUGAUGCGGUGAACAGCAAAACGGCCCUUGGUGUCAUAGACCAGGCGGAAAUGUUCACCUGUCUUCUCGAUGCUGAUGACAUCUGAUCACAAAAGGGUAUAAGGAACAUCGUUAACACAAACACAAAGUUUCUUUUGCCUGCACAGCAGGAACACUCUAUGCCAGGUUGAACCUGAGAACGUUUUAGCAGCCUAGGAGUCCCCAGGGCUUGGCGGAGGUGCUUGAAUGAAACCAACCAACCCCUGCUCCUCUCCCAAUACAUGUCAUCCAACAAAAGAAAGUGAAUACAUUUAUGGCUGCUCUAUUGCUUCCUAUGUUCUUGUGCAAUAGCUGCUUGAGACUGUGUGCUGGGUUAACGCACUCAGGAUCCUGAGGAGAAAACAUACAUGAGCACACCCACAAAUACCAGGAAACCAAAUGAACAAGCAGACCUCACAUUUAAGCAAGCAAGGCUCCAGGCUCAGCAGGCUGCCCAAUCAAUGUCCUGGCCCCAUUUACGCCCUCCAUGACUUCGCUUAUCAGGAGUCCUGCCUCACUCAGGAUUUGGGGUUUUGAGAAACAAAGCAAAAUGCUAAAAAAAAAAAAGAGGAAGGAAGGAAAGUAAGAAAAGGAAGGUCUGUCUUUUCUAACUCAGUGGCUGGAUCCUAGGAAUGUCCGGCCUGGAACCCCAUCCACUCGGUAGCAUCCACACCUGACAAAGUAAUCAUCCCCCUGCUUUCUGGACAAUGCUAGGCUAAAAAGCUGUACUGAGCCUUUCACCAUGAAAAGGGUGAACAAAGCACUAGGUCAGAAUUCCUUACCUUUCCCUACCUUCCCUCUUGGUACACUUUUUCCCUAGAGGUGUGUGACCCUUCUGCCCCUCCUCCACCCUCCCCGCCAAAAAAAGCUGCAAAUCCAUCCUUGGAGAUCCAGAAUAGUUAAGUCAUCAACGAAGUGGGAAGACAGAGCCAAAACCCUGUUCACUGACAAAGAUUCUCUCCUUGACCAAUCGUUAGCCAGUUUCCUCUGAGCCCUCUUCUUGGCUAAGCUUCAACCUUGACCUAUGAAGACCUCAACACUAA
rnacentral:lncRNA from 10 species